rnacentral:rRNA from 1 species
UACGUAGGGACCAAGCGUUGUUCGGAUUUACUGGGCGUAAAGGGCGCGUAGGCGGCCUAGCAAGUCACUUGUGAAAUCUCCGGGCUUAACUCGGAACUGCCAAGUGAAACUGCCAGGCUAGAGUGCAGAAGGGGCAAUCGGAAUUCUUGGUGUAGCGGUGAAAUGCGUAGAGAUCCGGAGGAACACCGAAGGCGAAGGCAGUGUCCUGGGGAGUACCUGAC